AUCAAACUGAAGAGUCCCAAAUAUGACGAAACACAUUUCCUGCAU
rfam:Schistosoma haematobium scaffold252_4, whole genome shotgun sequence.